UCAAGAUGGGAAUCGGCGACUAUCCUGCCGAAUACAACCCAAAAGUCCAUGGACCGUACGAUCCUGCUCGUUAUUACGGCACACCCGACAAACCUUUUGGGCA
rfam:Acyrthosiphon pisum strain LSR1 Contig27862, whole genome shotgun sequence.